CGCCUGUAGGGGGUCCCGGUGGAUGUCCGUCCGACGGGUGACGAGGGUGACCCCAGACGAGGCGGCUUAAUUGGGAUGGGAACUGACUGGUGAGGCUUAAUCGUCGACCAAUGGGUCGAAUCUGCAUAAGGAAGGCAACCAGCACACACUCGCAGGCGGGUCGUGCAAACAUUUUUUGUUUUUUCUCUUGGACUGCCCCACGUCGAAUUUUGAAGGCAGAAAAUGUCGGGAGGAGGCGAGCAUAACCAGGCCUAACUUAAACCUGUUAAAAGACAACCCGGGUUCGCAGCGCGAUUUUAAAAAACAAGAAUGAAGAAGUCAGAAAAUCUGUCUACAUGCUGCAUAUGAUCAGUCCCAAAAAAUUUCGGAUUGUUCCAGGCACCGUCGAAUACCUGGAAAACGUGUUUAUUGUCAACUCUACAGAAUCGACCGACGUUCAUGGAGUUGGGGGCAUUCGAUGUGCCCCAUAGCAGUGAGACGCCACUGUUUUUUUCGCCGUAUAAUUAUUAUGGUGGGACUGAAAAUGAACUUAAGCAAGGUGCGAUGGUUUUUCUCUUACAGGUGAUACGGUAUGGCUUGGAGAACUUCAAAAGUCGGUUCGCGUCGUGGUUCCAAAGCAGUAACUUUAGGUUCUCUACAUUUACAGAAUGUCGCAUUAAGUACUCAUUUUUUAAUUUGCAAUUUUCACAUUCAUUUUUAUUUUUUUUCUUACUCUAUACAAGGCUUUAAUAUAAAGUUUUUUUAGUAAUAAUAAAUGGGUAAUAAAAAAAUAACUCUAAAGAGACACAAUUAGGUAGCAUAUUGUUUUUCUAUUAUAUUUGAAAAUAACUGAGGUCUUAUUUUAAAAUUGAUAAUAUUGUUUAAUUUUUUUAAUGGUGAUUUUUAAUUAAACGUAAAUAAUGUAAUUUUACAUUAUAAUGAGAAUUAAAGUAUUAGUAAUUUAUUUUUGUUACUAAAAUUAAAAUCAGUUUGUUCCUGCAUAAAUCUUUUUAGUACUAAACUGCUUUGGAAUGAAUUUUUUGGGGGGACAACAGCAGGAUUGGGGCCGUCUUCUAGAUGCCAUCAGGUAGGUGCGCUAGCGUAGUCGUUUGUUGUAGCAUUAUAUCCCUUUUCCCCCUUUUUUAAAAAUGUUUGUAAGACGCCUGAAAUUUGUAUAAGUUAGUUGUAUAAGUAGUUGAAUAAGAAUUGGUGAGAGUUGGAAAAUAGAAGAGGACAAAGAAGAUGGAGGAGGAUCACUUUGAAAUAGAAGGAAAGAGAUAGAAAAUUUUCGAGGAAAGGAGGAGGAUUUUGUUCGCUGUAAUGGAAGUUUUUUGAAUGAAAUUUGGUGCAACUGUAUUAAGAUGUUAUUGAUAUCUUGUAUAUCAAGUUUCAUUUAUUUGCGUAUUAUACAAGCCUAUCUAUUGGUGGAAAUGUAAAAUGGCAGCUGGUAUAACACCUUGUAUGAAUUAUUAGGAACUCCAAAGAAGUUUUUACAUAAUUUAAACUGGGAAGAAGCUCAUUAAAGACCAGUUUAGGCUGCAGUAGUACCAGGACCUUAAAUUGGCUUCCACAACACAGAUAUCUUUCAAAAAUGAUAUCUGUUCGAGUGAUGUACUGGGCGUUAACAGUUGCUGUUACAAAUCUGCAAAUGAGUUACUACUAUGCAUACCUUUGAGGAAUGUCAAGAAAUGUUUUUUGAAUUAAACGUUAGUGAAAAACUUGUCCACAAAUGUCAAUUUCAAGAUACAAUCAAUAGUACUUAGAUUGAUUAGCCUUCAUUACCAUUGUACUAUGAAAAUGUAAGCAAUACAAAUUGGUAUUAAUGGACGUUUUGACAGCUGUUUCCAGUCGAAGUUCCAGUUUUAAUGGAAAAUCUUUAAUGGACACAGAAAAAUGCCAUUUACUGGAUUGACUUCAACACCUGUUGCCUUUUAAUAAUGGUAUACAACGGUACAAUUGCUGUUAGGAAGUUAACAAGUAGUACUAGUUGCAGAUAAUAUAUUAUGGUGAACAUCAAAAAGCUUUAAAUGGAAUGAAACUUGCAGGAAAAAUAAAGGAAAACCAUUUUAGACUGUAUACGUAAUAGCUGUUAGAGUGGAUCCAGUCCUUCAUCAAUGUGAGCUGAACAAAUUGAUGGUAAUGGACAUUUUGACAGCUGCUAUCACAACUCAACGAACAAGUUGCAGCUUUGAAGGAACAUUUUUGAUUGGAUACAGAAAAAUGUCAGUCGUUUCAGGAUGUAAAGUUAAUAGAACCAGGGUCGGGCUCGACAUCUGUUGCCUUUUAAUAAUGGCAUACGAUAGGACAAUUGCUAUUAGAAACCGAUAAGACAUACUAGCUGCAAAUAAUAUGUAUGGUGGUUAUAAAAGAGAUUUAAAUGGAAUGAAACACUUGUGCAGAAGAAAUCAAGGAAAACCAUUUUGAACUACUGUUACUUAAUAGCUGUUAGAGCGGAUCCAGUUCUUCAUCAAUGGUAUACGAUGGGACAAUUGCUGUUAAAAAUCCACAAGCCAUACUAUCUGCAAAAAUUAUGGUUGACAGAAAAAAGCUUUAAAUGGAAUGAAACUUGUGCAGAAGAAAUCGAGGAAAACCAUUUUGAACUGCUGUUACUUAAUAGCUGUUAGAGCGGAUCCAGUUCUUCAUCAAUGAACUCUUCACACACACCUUGAAGAUAUGGACAUCAAAAAGCUUUAAAUGGAAUGAAACUUGCAGGAAAAAUAAAGGAAAACCAUUUUAGACUGUAUACGUAAUAGCUGUUAGAGUGGAUCCAGUCCUUCAUCAAUGUGAGCUGAACAAAUUGAUGGUAAUGGACAUUUUGACAGCUCCUGUCACAACUCAACGAACAAGUUGCAGCUUUGAAGGAACAUUUUUGAUUGGAUACAGAAAAAUGUCAGUUGUUUCAGGAUGUAAAGUUAAUAGAACCAGGGUUGGGCUCGACAUCCGUUGCCUUUUAAUAAUGGUAUACGAAAGGACAAUUGCUAUUAGAAAUUAAUAAGUCGUACUAGCUGCAAGUAAUAUUUAUGGUGGUCAUCAAAGAGAUUUAAAUGGAAUGAAACUUGUGCAGGAGAAAUCGAGGAAUACCAUUUUGAACUGUUGUUACUUAAUCGCUGCUAGAGCGGACCCAGUUCUUCAUCAAUGGUAUAUGCUGGGACAAUUGCUGUUAAAAAUCCACAAGCUGUACUAUCUGCAAAUAUUAUGAUGGACAUCAAAAAACUAUAAGUGGAAUGAAACUUGCAAGAAAAGACUCAGAAAGACAAUUUAGGACUGUGCUUAAUAGCUGUUGAACAGUGGUCGCAGUCCUAUAUCAAUGAUAUCUCUGCAUUUUCUUAACAAUGGAUAUCCCCAACAGUUGCUCCUACUCCUCACUUUCCUCUUUCACUCAACAUAAAGCAGACUCAAUACUCCUCAAUGCCUCACCAAGGUUCGUUAGCUUCAUUAAUAGUGUUAUUGUUUCAAUAAA